rnacentral:hammerhead_ribozyme from 1 species
AUCCAGAUGACGAGUCCCAAAUAGGACAAAUUGCGCAUCCUGUAU